rnacentral:lncRNA from 1 species
AAAGAAAAAAAAAAAAAAGAAAGAAAGGAAAGGAAAUAAAAUGAAACAGGUUUCCGUUCACCGGACUCCAUCUGCAAAUGACCUCCCUAAGGAAUGGCACAAGGAGAAUGGGAAGCACUACUGUAACAGCACAAGAAAUCAGAAGUUGAUUAAUUUAACUGGCUUAUCUGAUAUGGCUCCACCCCCACACCCAACCUAGUUCCUCCAAUGCAUAUGGACAUCAAGCUGCCCAUUUUCAGUUGCGAUUCUGGAUGUCCACAGACCACAAUUUCAUCUUCUGUGAAGGCUAUGCCCAGAGAGGCAGCCACGGCCCUCCUCACAACACAGCCCAGAUGCUCUCUGCAGCCCUUGGCCUGUUUGCCAGGCCGGGUUCUGCUUAUGCCCUGGAGUGAGCAAUGCCCAGGGCCUACAAAGCCUGUUCCCGUGCAAACUCGGCUACU